UUUAGUUGGUAGUCUCCAUUAGGAUAGGUAUAAAACUACCUAUCACCCUUUCUUUUUUGUCGCAAAGUUCAUUUUUUUUGUCACCAAAUCACCCUUUUGGUGAAACUAGACAACCUUCUACUUUUAUUGUUCUUAUUACUCUCUCCAGUUUAACUCAAAAAAGCAAUUUAACAUGUUUUCUCUUGAGCUGAAAAACUGUUGCUUGGCAUGACACCUCAGGUGGGUAUAUGAGAUUUAGGAGAAAGUUCCAUUUCAUGGUGCAUCUUCUCUGUCAUAAGGCUAACUGAUUCUUGCAGCCAUGACAGAUUUCAAAGCUUUUGAGCUGAUUCGUGUUUUGGCUCGGCAAAGUUCAGUUUCCUUCCCCCCCUCACCAAACCACCUUUUUGUGAAAUGACACAUGACCUUCCUCUUUUUUUAUUCUUAUUACUCUCUCUGCUCGUUUUAUAAACCAUGAGGAUGUGGAGGUUUUGUCUUCCGUGGAAGUUCAACAAAACUUGUUUUCUCUCGAGCUGAAAAACAGUUGCUUGGCACGGCACCUCAGAAGUUUUGCAUUUUUCCUGCAUGUACUGGACACUUUUGGCCUCUGCGCCCAGUUGCACUUGUGGGGUAAUACUGUCAUUGGGCGUACCAUUGGCAUCAGUGCUGCUUGUUGCAACAGUUUCCUCCCUCUCCAAUGCAAGUAAAGGUUUCAGUUCAAUCAUUUUCUAUCAGCAACGUCCUUCCUAGACAGGAGGGAGUAAAACGGAUCAAAUGAUGCAGAUAAAAUAUUAAAAUGGAAUAGAAGUGCAUAAUUUAAUCAGACCUCUUUAAUUGGAGUCUUGUUUUCCGUCGCAACACAUUCUCCCUUUGAUUCAGUGGCCUCUACUUGGAGCGUGUGAAUUUGUUUUUACCUUUUUGGUGAGAUGGGGCACAUGAAGGCUUAAGCGAAUACCUGAGGCUAUUUGAAGCUCAAUUUGGUCGGGGGUUAUCUUGUAUGAUUUCACAAGUUGUAGGUAUCUGUUGCUAUUGGCAUUGGAACCUGCGCUAUGUUAAGAUGGAUGACAGUGGAUCUGGUGUCAUACGAGAUGGGCUGGUGCUUAUGGGAGAAAUAUAUGGUAAUCAUUUUGCAAAAUAUUGGACUGACAUCAUUUUUUCUAUUGUAUUGAUGCUGCUGUCCAUAAUUUAGUAUUGUAUGCAUUUCUCAACUGAUGGACUGUUUGACGGUUUGUGUUCAUUAGAGUCUAUUUACAGAUGCUCUUUUAUGUAUUAUUUUG